UGCCUGAUGGAGGGGGAUAACUACUGGAAACGGUAGCUAAUACCGCAUAACGUCGCAAGACCAAAGAGGGGGACCUUCGGGCCUCUUGCCAUCGGAUGUGCCCAGAUGGGAUUAGCUAGUAGGUGGGGUAACGGCUCACCUAGGCGACGAUCCCUAGCUGGUCUGAGAGGAUGACCAGCCACACUGGAACUGAGACACGGUCCAGACUCCUACGGGAGGCAGCAGUGGGGAAUAUUGCACAAUGGGCGCAAGCCUGAUGCAGCCAUGCCGCGUGUAUGAAGAAGGCCUUCGGGUUGUAAAGUACUUUCAGCGGGGAGGAAGGGAGUAAAGUUAAUACCUUUGCUCAUUGACGUUACCCGCAGAAGAAGCACCGGCUAACUCCGUGCCAGCAGCCGCGGUAAUACGGAGGGUGCAAGCGUUAAUCGGAAUUACUGGGCGUAAAGCGCACGCAGGCGGAUUGUUAAGUCAGAUGUGAAAUCCCCCCGGG
rnacentral:rRNA from 1 species